AUGGAACCUGCUCCAGCCCCGUCCCCUCACCGCCCAGGGACCUCCCGCCAGGGGGCGCCGCUCCGCCCGCCGCCCCUUCCGCCGCUGCCGCCCGUCAAUGGCGCCCGGGCUCGUCCCGGUCCCGGUCCCGGUCCCGGUCCCCUCGCGUGUCCCUCGGAGGGCAUGCGGGCAUGGCACCCCGUCCCCUCCCAUCCCGCGUGGCCGCUCCCGUGCCGUGUGUCCCGCGGCGGGGCGGGCGGAGCAGAGGGAAGCCGGUGGAUCUGGCGGAAUCACGUGGCGCGGUCCCUGCUGGCGGGCGGGACGGUGGCCGGGAGGGUUUCCCGGGCAACCGCGCCGCCGGCGAGCGGGGCGGCCGCGCUGCGCGGGGCCCGGCGCGGUGCAGGUGCGUGCCCGGCGCCCGGGCAGCGCUCGGCUCCGAGCCGCGGCCUCUUUCUUCCCUCUCCCGCUGCUCCCCGGGCGCCCGUCGGGCCUUGGAGCCGGGCCCGGUCCGCCCGUCCCCGAGCCCCGCGCUGCCGUGCGCCAGCCGCGCCUGUGCUCCAGGGAAAGCCGGCGGAGGAGGAAGAGGAUCGGGUCACGGCUGGGAUGAUUGAAAGUUUAUUCCCCGGCCAGUGCCGCCUUUGUUUUGUGCGCGAAGUCGUUUGUGAGCCGCCCGGUCUGAAGAUACGGCUGAAAAGUAUAUCUGCUAAGGUUAAUGUUUGCCUCUGAUCUUCUGUUACUGAAACGGUAAACAUGUUUGUUGUCCUUCAGGUUACAUAUUAUUAGUUUUUAUAAAAGAUGUAAUUAUAGGGUAGGCAGAAGAAAGCCGUCAUUCUAAGGUAGGAAGAAGUAAGCAUAAUGUCAGGAGAAUCACUUUGUUUUUCUGGCAAAGCUAGAAUUAAAUAUUCCCCACUUGCUAAAGCAACACGCACCGUUAGUAAAUUGCUAAAGCAUCCUGUGUUUAACAUCAAGUGUUCUUUGAUGUGAAAGUAUAAAAGGAUACUGGAUUAUGUGUGCCCUGAGAGGUAAUGUUCUUA
rnacentral:lncRNA from 1 species